GGGAGCGACUUGGCUUCGACAGGAGUAAGUCUGCUUAGAUGGCAUGUCGCUUUGGGUAAAGCGUAAAAAGCCCAAAUAAAAUUAAACGCAAACAACGUUAAAUUCGCUCCUGCUUACGCUAAAGCUGCGUAAGUUCAGUUGAGCCUGAAAUUUAAGUCAUACUAUCUAGCUUAAUUUUCGGUCAUUUUUGAUAGUGUAGCCUUGCGUUUGACAAGCGUUGAGGUGAAAUAAAGUCUUAGCCUUGCUUUUGAGUUUUGGAAGAUGAGCGAAGUAGGGUGAAGUAGUCAUCUUUGCUAAGCAUGUAGAGAUCUUUGUGGGAUUAUUUUUGGACAGGGGUUCGAUUCCCCUCGCUUCCACCA
rnacentral:tmRNA from 2 species